GGUUCCCAAUAUGAUUUCUUUCCCUGCCAGGCAGUCAACAAACUGACUUGCUGUGGCAAAAGAAAGGUCGGAGGGCAAUGAAGACAAGUGUGCUCUGGGAAGCAAGCACAGACCCUCCUAGCAUUUUUCCUCUUUUCCCAACAGCAAGGUCAAGAUUUGCUUGCCUGCCCGACCUUCUGAGCUGUCUGUCCUUCUGAUUUUUUUGUUCUUCAAGCUCAGAAAUUCCUAUGGUAUUACAUGGAGGCACCAUCAACAUGACAAUUUUAUGUCCUCAGACUCCUCAUGGGGAAGGAAGCCAGGGCACCCACUAGGAUCUGACGGCAGCAGUGGCACCUUAAGCAUGACAGCCAAGCAAAGGGCUGCGUGGGCUGGGACCCAGAUAAUGGCAAAAGAAGAAAGAUCCAGAGGAAAAACCGGUUGAGGGGCUGAGGAGAGAGAAAAAGAGAAGAUGAAACCGUCAAACGGUGUAGCACCUCUGAAGCCAAACUUGUGCGGAUCAUUUGAGAACGGAGCAAGUGGGGGACUGCACUACUUACAGAGGGCAUUUUGGGUGUCCCCAUCAGGGAAGCUGUACCCUCUUUCUUAGAGGAAAGGAUAAAUCCUGAGACCUGGGCUGAAGUUGGCCAGUGGGCAGGGAAACGGCCGAUCGAGUCACCGAUUCAAGCUUUUGUUCUAGAUUUCCGUGCAUUUGAAACAAUAAUAAGUCAUAAAAAGCUCAAAGCUGUGGGGAUAGUUUUGGGUUACAGUCACUGUGGUGACCAAAUGCUAGCAUGGUGAAAGUGGAAGUGUAAGGAAGACCCACAGGGACCCCAACUUUGCUUUUAAGAUCCCUUCACGCGGUGGAUCUCAAGAACAGCAGGUUUUCGGAGGAGCAGCUCUCCUGCUGCCUAUAGCGUUUUUUGUUUUUUGUUUGUUUUUUUUUUUUCAGGUACCACAAAGCCACUAGCGCAUAGGGCCUCAGAAAAGACGGCAGGAGCUCAAGGAAGACUCCAGUUUGUACAGACCUGCCCUGUUUCCCUCAGAGAGUCCCUGGGCAAGGAGACCGCCACCCCAUACACACCGUUUUAGAACAACCAGGUUCCAGACUCCCAUGAGGAGCAUUCCCCAUUGCACAGCCCCAGCCAGCCGCGCGUGGACUCUCCAGGACUGGCGCAAACUCGGGGCCUCCAAGACUCGGCUCUGGGAGGCCUAAGUGACUCGGAAGCCGGCGGCCGGCCGCAGCAGCGGCGGUGGUGGGAGAGCUUUCUUCCCCGACAGUGCCGCUGCUCGCUCUUCACUGGAGCUGGAAACAGCCUUCGCGGGAAGGACCGGAGCGUGCGUUAGAAGCAGAGGGAGCUUGGAGAAGGGCUCCGCCGGAAGGUGGAAACUCCUCGCUGUGCGCGGCCAGCUUGCGGGGCACACCGGCUUGUUGGACUGCGGAACCCGCGCCACCCAAGAAGUGACCUGCCGGGGCGGUGGGCAGCCGCGGGACGGCCCGGGGAAUUCCGUGCGGCUGCGACGUGAAAAGGACGCGGGGUCUCUGUACCCGACGCUGUCACUGACUGAAAGGAAUUUUACCCGCGGACGCCCACCCCCACCCUAGCUGGAUGCUCACGCGCGCAACAAAACAGGAAACCAGCACCGGGCAGUGCAUUCUUUAAGUCAACAAAUACACUGAAGAUAUCGAGGGUUUGAAGGAAGUAGGGGGUUUGCACAUAAGCCUGGUCCCGCCGGGCUCGGCUUUCUCGCUGAGAAAGCGGCGCAGGCAGCCAGGCGGCCUGGGCCCGCGGGAGUCCAUCUCGCUGUAGACACCGAAGAACUCCCGCGGCCCUGUUCCCAGCUGCGAAUUCUUAAUGCACAACGCGACGGAGGGAAGAAAAUUCACCAGCGCAGCAGCUAGGCAGGGGAACUCAGGACCCCUUCAAGUACACACUGAGGUGUGAUCAGAGUUUUAUGGGUACGUUAUAUGCUGUAAUCAUAACGAUGUGUGUGCCUUGAUAUACACGCACAUCCAUGCAUCAAACGUGCAUAUCCACACACAGUGAAUAAGCACAUGCAGUGUCAUGUGGGCGAAAUACAGGCGUCAUACCCAGCCCUAGGAAAAAAAUUCACCCUGUCUGACCAGCCUGGUGACAUACUUCGCUGGCUCAUCUCCUUACUCAUUCUGAUUUUUCCGACCCCUCACCAUACCCUCUCCUGUGGCUUUAUCAAUACACCUGUCCCCCGUGGAAGGUGAGUCCUGGACUGUCGUUGCCCGGUUGGCCUGUCCUCCCCAGAACCUCCGGCUGGCUCCGGGGACCCUCGCCGAGCGGGUCUGGAGCACCCGACACUGUUCAAGGAGCAGCCGCCGUUCCUUUGUCCCGCGGCUCCCGCUCCAUUCGGCCCAGCUCUCAGAGAAACGAAGCGCUCAGUACGAACUUUUGAUACUAGUUUUUAUGGGUAUUUACACUCUGGCGAGGGGAGCUGAGUACGGAAGCUCCAUUAAUCGGCCCCAACCUUGGGUUUAGAUAUUCAGUUUAUGGGUUAGGAGAGGGAGUUUGCCGGAAAGAAAGCAUCAGGGAUGGCCACUGACUUCAGAGAAAUGAAAAGGGAGCUAGGUCGUUUUCUAUUUCUGGAAAUCAAGAAUUAGGAAUGGGCAACUACAGGUGCUAACAGACCACUUUUUUUGGUUCUUGGUAGCCCUUUGGCAGGGAUAGUUUUUCUACUGUUGCCCAAUACAUUUU